rnacentral:rRNA from 1 species
CCCUUAGAUGUUCUGGGCCGCACGCGCGCUACACUGAUUCAUGCAACAAGUUUUGUCCUUGGCUGAUAGGCCUGGGUAAUCUUUGAACGUGAAUCGUGAUGGGGAUAGAUGAUUGCAAUUAUUCAUCUUCAACGAGGAAUUCCUAGUAAACGCAAGUCAUCAGCUUGCAUUGAUUACGUCCCUGCCCUUUGUACACACCGCCCGUCGCUCCUACCGAUUGAAUGAUCCGAUGAAUACCAUGGAUUGAGAGUACGAAUAGGUUCGCUUAUUUCUGCUGCUCGAGAAGUGGAGUAAAUCUUAUCAUUUAGAGGAAGGAGAAGUCGUAACA